UCGCGACACCUGUCCCCUCUGAUCAAAACUCAUCGUUUCAUUUAUGUGAUGUCUUAUACUCUGCCUUUCUUUUAGCGUCACGUGCCAGCCGCAAGAUAUUUAGGGUUUGGUAUUCCUCUUCAGUAAUUAACGAAGAGUCUUCUUCUUCAAUCUCUGAUAUAGCUAUGGAGUUUUGAUAUCUUCAAUCCACAUGAAGAAUCGUUUUUGAAUCUUCGACCUGGCCUUCUGUCUUCUCUUCAGAGAUCUGUUACUGAAUGCACCUUAUUCAUCUGCAAGGCGGUUUCUCUACUUCUAUAAAAGUUGUCUUGAUGUGUUAGAUAGAGCAGCAUUACGUGGCUCAAGGUUUGAGUAUUGUUGGCUACUUUCAUACGAACAAGAGGUUUGGCAAAGUGGAGCUCUCUGGUGUCGCUAAUAAUAUCGAUUAGUGCCAGCAUUUUUCGGGUUCUGGUGGUGUUAUUUAGACAUCAUAAUUUCUACCAUAGCCUCUUAAAAGGGCAAGGAAACCUCGCUAAUGACACUGAGAAGUUAAUAUCUUCGUCACAGCAAGAGUAUUGGGUAAGAAGCUGCUGUAAAGAACAACUAUGGAGGGCUCAUGCCAAAGAACAUCCUCUGAUUUCCAAGGUCGGUUCAUUUAUCUACAUCUAAAGAGUUUUUUUUGUGUUUCUGUGGUGUGUUGUUUUAUAUAAGGAUUAUGAGCAACCAUACUUUGAUUCAGCUGACUGGGCUCUUUGAAAGUAAGCAAAACAGAUGGAGGAGGUGGCAAAAUUGAUCAACGGGAAGGAGAUUGACUUUGAGGAGUUAAAACCCAAGCCAGUGUUUUAAAGGAAACGUUUCGUGACAACAUUUAACAGCCUUUUUGUUUGAAUCAGAUGUUCUAAACGUAAUCUGCGACGUUGAUUCUUUCAGCACUACAAGAUAACUAGCCAAGAGCUUGGGAUUCUCUCUCGGAGAUGCCAUUAUUUGUCGCUGCAGGCUACACUUUGUAAAAGAAGACGUCUUUGUCAUCAAAUAUAGUUUUAUCUGGCCUCUACAAUGAUAAAAAUUAUUGAUAGGCAGAUUCUAAAUCAGUGUCUCACACUGGUUUCAAAGAGGACUCUACGGAGCUGUCCUUCAAGUAUGGCUAGCUACAAUCUCUGUUUCCAGUGUCUCAAACUGAUUUUAAAAGAAUGUUGUGUUCUGUUUUACAAUCUCUGUUUCCAGUAGCUUAGUCUCUAAAAAAUAACUAUUUCUUAAUAAAUUUUACAUAUUAUUCACAAAAAAUAGAGAUAUAGUUUAUCUGUUAUAACUAAAUUUGAUACUUUUUUAGAUGUAUACUUCCUUCUAUAAUUCUAUGCAUCAUUGUUAUAUUA